UACCUGGUUGAUCCUGCCAGUAGUCAUAUGCUUGUCUCAAAGAUUAAGCCAUGCAAGUCUAAGUACGAGCUCUCGUACAGUGAAACUGCGAAUGGCUCAUUAAAUCAGUUAUGGUUCAUUUGAUCGUACAGUUUACUUGGAUAACUGUGGUAAUUCUAGAGCUAAUACAUGCGAGAAGCGCCGACCUCGCGGGAGGCGUGCAUUUAUCAGACCAAAAACCGGCCGCGUCUUCGGGCGCGUUCGCCUUGGUGACUCUGGAUAACUUUGCGGAUCGCACGGUCUAGCACCGGCGACAGAUCAUUCAAGUGUCUGCCCUAUCAACUUUCGUCGGUACGGUAUUUGCCUACCGAGGUUCUUACGGGUGACGGGGAAUCAGGGUUCGAUUCCGGAGAGGGAGCCUGAGAAACGGCUACCACAUCCAAGGAAGGCAGCAGGCGCGCAAAUUACCCAUUCCCGACGCGGGGAGGUAGUGACGAAAAAUAACAAUGCAGGACUCGUUCGAGGCCCUGUAAUUGGAAUGAGUACACUUUAAAAGCUUUAACGAGUAUCCAUUGGAGGGCAAGUCUGGUGCCAGCAGCCGCGGUAAUUCCAGCUCCAAAAGUAUAUAUUUUAAGUUGAUUGCGGUUAAAAAGCUCGUAUUUGGAUUU
rnacentral:ncRNA from 1 species